GUGGGUUGAUAGGUUAAGAGCUAAUUAAUUGGACGUUACCCACAGAAGAAGCACCGGCUAACUCCGUGCCAGCAGCCGCGGUAAUACGGAGGGUGCGAGCGUUAAUCGGAAUUACUGGGCGUAAAGGGUGCGUAGGUGGUUUAUUAAGUUAUCUGUGAAAUCCCUGGGCUUAACCUGGGCAGGUCAGAUAAUACUGAUUGACUCGAGUAUGGGAGAGGGUAGUGGAAUUUCCGGUGUAGCGGUGAAAUGCGUAGAGAUCGGAAGGAACACCAGUGGCGAAGGCGGCUACCUGGCCUAAUACUGACACUGAGGCACGAAAGCGUGGGGAGCAAACAGGAUUAGAUACCCUGGUAGUCCACGCUGUAAACGAUGUCAACUAGCUGUUGGAAAUC
rnacentral:rRNA from 1 species